GCAGUGAUGACCUUUCCUAGAUUUUGAUCAGGAAUGAAAAUAAAACAGUUCCUCUAAGAAGUUCUGAGCUC